AAGCGCUUAUGACCAGACUUUUGUCAUGCGGAUCAUCCGGUGUUCUCACCGGUGCACUUCGCUUGAUUAAGGCCAGCAUCGAUUUUCGUAGGGGGAUAAAGGCUUUGGGAACGUAGCUUUUCGGAGUGUUAUAGCCCAUUGCGUAAUACCCUUAUGAGGAUCGAGGUUCGCGCUCUGCAAGGAUGCUGGCGUAAUGGUCAUCAGCGA
rnacentral:rRNA from 1 species